CCCGUUUGUUUGAACACCUCCAUACCUAAACACCAAUUUGUCUUGAAGGAAUAAUACAAAUGUAGGAACUAGCCUACACUAGGCAUUAACUGUACUUGUCUAACUUUAAUGUUAAAAGUUGGCUAGGCCUAUAACUUACUCUGGUUUUAAUGAGUCAAACUGGCCACGCGAGUGACUCUUUUAGGCUUCCAAUCUGUUUGAGGUCUUUUUAGGUAAAAUAUCAAACUUCAGUAGUUCACACUAUCACUUGACUUAUUAACUAAGAUUCAGCCAGGCCUACCAGUGUGACUAGUAUCAGUUUUGGCCAUUCAAGUCUACUCUACUUUCCACAAAUAUAGGCUAAAGUAGCCUAGACUAUCCCACUGUCCUGUGACACAUCUUGUCUUUGAACUGAAUUUGAUGGCCUCAGAUGAUGGUUUGAAUUGGUUUUUGUCUCUAGUCCACCCAAGCAUUGUGACCGUUCAGUAUUUUGGCUACUCUUCGUGAAAACACGAGUUAGGUUAUCUUAAAAAUAACAUGUAGGCAUGUCUUUAAACACAAUAAGUGCAUGUUGAGAACACAUCUGUGAUAGAAAUAAGGUGUGAUUGCUAAUUGAAACAUAACUACAGUAAUAUGUCAUUUCCAUUUGCAGACAUGACAAAGCCACAAGCUGUCAAUUGCCCCACCUGCCAGGUUUCAAAUCGCCUGCCGCUGAAUACCUGCACAGCCUGUCUGUUCCCCUUGAAGCACAAACGAAAGGUUACCGCCAAGUGGGCAGAAUCUGUUAAGAAAAACAGAAAUGUGUGCAGAAUACUUAAGGCUGCUCAGCUGUCUGUGUCCAAACUCAGUGUUUUGGACUAUUGCCCAAUUCUUUUCUUGGGACAUAAGGACAAGAAAGGGGGAAUGUCAGCAGACAUUAUGCAUUGCCUUGAGAACCCAGGGAAUCCUGAGAUUUCUUUAAUUAUAAAAAAAAUGAAAAAUCUUUAUGGGCACCUUCUACGAAAAUUGUUUGCUCAAAAGGAUGUCCCUGGGGAGGUGGAUCCAAACCGAUCUCAAGAGGAGGUGGUGGAGGAAAACCAACCAGAAGUGGAGGGGGGGGGUCCAAUCCCAUCUGGAGAGGAAGCA